rnacentral:rRNA from 1 species
GAAGCUGGCACCUUCGGUGUCCGCGUUGUAAUCUCGAGACGUGUUUUCCGUGCGGCUCUAUGGACAAGUCCCUUGGAAUAGGGCAUCGUAGAGGGUGAGAAUCCCGUACUUGCCAUGGAAGAACCGUGCUUUGCGAUACACGCUCUAAGAGUCGAGUUGUUUGGGAUUGCAGCUCAAAAUGGGUGGUAGACUCCAUCUAAAGCUAAAUAUCGGGGAGAGACCGAUAGCGAACAAGUACCGUGAGGGAAAGAUGAAAAGCACUUUGGAAAGAGAGUUAAAAGUACGUGAAAUUGUCGAAAGGGAAGCACUUGAAGUCAGCCAUGCUGCUUGAGACUCAGCCUGGCCUUUGGGCUUGGUGUAUUUCUCGGUGGCAAGCCAGCAUUGGUUUGGGUCGUCGGAGAAGCGCAUAGGGAAUGUGGCGUCUCCGGACGUGUUAUAGCCUUAUGCAGGAUACGACGACCUGGAUCAAGGAACGCAGUGUGCC